CCUACGGGAGGCUGCAGUGGGGGAUAUUGCACAAUGGGGGAAACCCUGAUGCAGCGACGCCGCGUGUGGGAAGACGGUCCUCUGGAUUGUAAACCACUGUCCCCAGGGACGAAAAUGACGGUACCUGGGGAGGAAGCUCCGGCUAACUACGUGCCAGCAGCCGCGGUAAUACGUAGGGAGCGAGCGUUGUCCGGAAUUACUGGGUGUAAAGGGAGCGUAGGCGGGGAUGGAAGGUGGGUGUCAAAACUACCGGCUAAACUGGUAGUCGCACUCUAAACUGCAGCUCUUGAGUGAAGUAGAGGCAGGCGGAAUUCCUAGUGUAGCGGUGAAAUGCGUAGAUAUUAGGAGGAACACCAGUGGCGAAGGCGGCCUGCUGGGCUUUUACUGACGCUGAGGCUCGAAAGUGUGGGGAGCAAACAGGAUUAGAUACCCUGGUAGUC
rnacentral:rRNA from 1 species